UGGCAGAAACGUUAGCAGGCCGCGCGAGAUGCUUAGCGGUAUUUCGUCUGCCAAUACGUUUUGAGUUCAAAUUCCGCCGAGGUUGACUUUGCCUUUCAUCCUUUUGGGGUUGAUAGACUAAAUACCAAUGAAAUACUGGGAUGGAUGCAAUCGACCAGCCCCCUCCCACAAAA